ACCUGGCUGGCUCAGUCAGUAGAGCAUGAGACUCUUGACCUUUCGGUUGUAAGUUUGAGGCCUGCGUUGGGUA
rnacentral:tRNA from 1 species